rnacentral:lncRNA from 1 species
AUUUUCCAGGUAUGGUUAAGCCAACUAAUCAGGAGAUGACUGCUGUUGGAAAGAGUCUGUCACUCAUUUCCCAGCCAUGCCUCAUGGAGACACAUAGGAAAGCACUAGGGUCAGUCAAGAUACAAAGGGAAAGAGGGGAAGGUGCUGGCAAAGCCUUUGUUGUGGUUUUCCUGGGAAGGAAUGGGUGGGGCAGCAUAAACCAGGUGGACGCUCUCCAGUCUUGAGUAGUUGCAGUGGGUUCUGGCAUGUGAGGACUGCUCCUCGUUUCUUGCACCUGCCUUAGGAUGAUUAGGACAGGAGAUGUUGACUUGGCAGAGAGCCUGCUACAGGAAUUGGUGUGAUUCCAUGGUCUAGGUUGGCUGGACUCACGAGACAGGCAGCCUUCAGGCCUAUUGGCUGUCUAGGGAUUGGUUAGCUUAAAAGCUGCAGUCACUCCAGUGCCAGAACAUCAGGAAUUCAGCAAAGAAGCAAACAGUUAGUGCAGGGCUCAGCUUAGCUACCGCUUUAUGUUACUAAUUUAAAACUUGCACGGAUCUUCCUGGGGGUCCUGUAAGGUAGGAGGCAAAGGUGCCCAUCUGUAUCCAUCAACUCCAGUUUAUCUGGUUGUACAUCAAGAGCUAAUCUCCUGAACCAAGAGCUCCAGAGCACUUAACAAACUUAAAAUCAUGCUGUGCACCUGUUCCCUCACUGGGACUCACUUUCCUCAUCUGUACAAUAGACCGUGGGACUAGAAGACCAUGUCCUUCUAUAAUUCUGUGGAGUGAGUUCCUCUGGUGAAAGUAUGAGAAGGGAAGGGAAGAGGUGCCCCCUCCAGUUAGGAAGAAAGGAAGGGUGUGAUCUGAGGGAGGCCGUUCGGAAGACAGGUGCUG